rnacentral:rRNA from 1 species
GACGAACCGAGCGAACGUUGUUCGGAAUCACUGGGCUUAAAGGGCGCGUAGGCGGGCUGUCAAGUCUGGGGUGAAAUCCCGCGGCUCAACCGCGGAACUGCCUCAGAUACUGACGGUCUCGAGGGAGGUAGGGGCGAGCGGAACUGAUGGUGGAGCGGUGAAAUGCGUUGAUAUCAUCAGGAACUCCGGUGGCGAAGGCGGCUCGCUGGACCUCUUCUGACGCUGAGGCGCGAAAGCCAGGGGAGCAAACAGG